rnacentral:lncRNA from 10 species
AUGGAAAACAGGGAGGCAGCACAGAGGCAGGAAGCCCAGGUGUCACAGCUUGGCUCAGGAAAGGAUGCCAAAACGCAGACAGGAGCUUGUGGCGGUCACCCAGCGAAUCGUCCCCAGCUAGGGCUGGAACUGAAGACUCAGGCUUGGGGAGGAGUCAGUUCAGAAACCUUGAGGGUCUUCUCUGACGCCUGCCUGGCUCCCUUGCGAAUCCAGCUGUGGCUCAGCCCAAGACCAGAGUGGGCAGCCGGGCAGUGGACAGCGUUCCUUCUCUGUGGCCUGGCAGGCAGGAGGACCUCUGGCCCUGCCCCACGCGGGUAAGGAAGAGAUGAAUGGACAGACAUAGCGUAUGCCGGGCCUGGCACAGUGGCUUAUGCCUGUAAUCCCAGCACUUUGGAAGGCUGAGGCAGGCGGAUCACUUGAGGCCAAGAGUUUGAGACCAGCCUGGCCAACAUGGUGAAACACCAUCUCUACUAAAAAUACAAAAACGGCCGGGCGCGGUGGCUCAAGCCUGUAAUCCCAGCACUUUGGGAGGCUGAGAUGGGCGGAUCACGAGGUCAGGAGAUCGAGACCAUCCUGGCUAACACGGUGAAACCCCGUCUCUACUAAAAAAAAAAAAAUACAAAAAACUAGCCGGGCGACGUGGCUGGCACCUGUAGUCCCAGCUACUCGGGAGGCUGAGGCAGGAGAAUGGCGGGAACCCGGGAGGUAGAGCUUGCAGUGAGCUGAGAUCCGGCCACUGCACUCCAGCCUGGGCGACAGAGCCAGACUCCGUCUCAAAAAAAAAAACAAAAAAAAACCAAAAACUAGCCAGGUAUGAUGGCACGUGACUGUAAUCCCAGCUACUUGAGAGGCUGAGGCAGGAGAAUGGCUUGAAUCUGGGAGGUGGAGGUUGCAGUGAGCUGAGAUUGUGCUAUUGCACUCCAGCCUGGGCAACAAGAGUGAAACUCUGUCUCGAGAAAAAAAAAAAAAAAAAAAGCUACAGCCAAGAAGGGAGCAGUGGGUCACGCCUGUAAUCCCAGCACUUUGGGAACCCAAGGAGGGAUGAUUGCUUGAGGCCAGGAGUUCAAGAUCAGCCUGGGCAACAUGGCAAGACCAUGUCUCACCAAUAAGUAAAUGAAUAAAAAAUUAGUUGGGUGUGGUGGCACUUGCCUGUUAUCCUACUUGGGAGGCUGAGGAAGGAGGAUUGCUUGAGCCCUGGAGCAGGAGGCUGCAGUGAGCCAUGACUGUGCCACUGCACUCCAGCCUGGGUGACAGAACAAGCCCCUGUCUCAAAAUAACAGCAACAAAACAAACAAGCAAAACAAAACAAGACAAAAAAACUCUACAGCUAACAGCACACUUAAGGGUACAAGACUGAAUGCUUUCCCCCUAGAAUGGGACUAAGACAGAGACGUCCAGCUCUGUCCCCCAGGCUGGAGUGCAGGGGUGUGAUCUCAGCUCACUGCAACCUCCACCUCCUGGGUUCAAGCAAUUAUCAUGUCCCAGCCUCCCAUGUAGCUGAAAUUACAGGCGUGCACCACCACACCUGGCUAAUUAUUGGCAGGUAAUUUUAGUAGAGACAAGGUUUCGACAUGUUGGUCAGGCUGGUCUCAAACUCCUGGCCUCAAGUGAUCCACCCGCCUCAGUUUUCCAAAGUGCUGGGAUAACAGAGCCACUGUGUCCAGCCGACUCUCAUAUUUUCUUCCUUUUCUUUUUUUCUUUUUUCUUUUUUGAGACAAAGUCUCACUCUGUCGCCCAGACUGAAAUGCAGUGGCGCUAUCUGGGCUCACUGCAACCUCCACCUCCUGGGUUCAAGUGAUUCUCAUGCCUCAGGCUCCCGAGUAGCUGGGGUUACAGGUGCCCACCACCACGCCUGGCUACGUUUUGUAUUUUAGUAGAGAUGAGGUUUUACCACGUUGGCCAGGCUGGUCUCAAGCUCCUGACUUCAGGUGAUCUACCUGUCUCAGCCUCCCAAAGUGCUGGAAUUACAGGCAAGAGCCACCGCGCCC